AACAAUAAGCCUGUCCUACCCAAGGGCAGGGUUUCAGUAGAUAACAACACCAGCAAGAAUGUCAGCUUCUUCCCACAGAAAUUAAGAUCACAAUACCACGGAGUGAUGAUGAGAAAGACGACGCUUAAACGAGUUAGGACAGCUUCACGCAACUGAGGACCACGUCAGUGAUCUAAUUAACUGCACCUCCAAAUUCACGGACACAAGUGACAGUUUGGCUUCAGAAUCAACAGAAACUACUCCAAACCCACAUUUUUUCUGAGCAGCAUGAUCUUGCUGUUUCCUCUUCUUAUACACUCCCACUCCUUGCACCAACACUAACUGUUGUGCAAGAGCAGGACAAGCCAACAUCCAGACGAAAACUGAUCCAACGAGAGAACACAGCAGUUGGCACUGGCGCAAGAAGCAUGGGAACACACUUCCCUCAGCACAGAUGGACCACAGCUCUUGGUUAGCCAACACGACGUCACCUCACUGCCACCAACUGCUCUCGCUCCUCCAUGAGCUCAGUUACUCACAGCACUGACCAGCACACACAAAGAUGACUUUUUGACAAUUCAGUGCACUUCGAAGACCUGCACAAAGGGGUCCGAUGAAUCCCAAAUGCAGCACAGGGACUGGAGGAUGGGGAAGGACGGUUGGGGGCAGGGCAGCACGGAACCAAGACAGCCAUCGGGCCAGGCCGUGCCUGAGAAAGUGUGGUUGUGAAACUGCGCCCUGAUUAUGCUGCGGUUCUGUAAUUACCGAAUUUCAAAGCAAGCCAAAUAUGCAUAUGAACGACAGAGCAGGUGGAGGUGCAUGUUUAUAAAGAAAGUAUCAUCAGUGCUCGUAAAGCCGUCUCCUCCUCUGAAGGAGCUGUUCCCAAGUAGAACGGAGAUCUCAGCUUGGAGAUGGUUAUUCAUCUCCGCGGGUGUUCUCGCCCACCUCUCCUCUCCCCAGGGAACAGCUGAGAGGCACGAGGUGCUCAUUCAUCUCCGUGGGUGUUCUCACCUUCCCCAGCCUCCUCCCACAAAAGGAUUCUAAAGCUUAAGAGAGGGAUCAGACAUCCCCUGGUCCCAGUGCUGAGCUCCCCACGUACGCUCCCAUGAGGUUUCUCUGCAGCAGGAUUAGCACAGGAGGCUUCAACACCUACCAACAGACCCAGGCACAGCACACUGAGCCAACAUCCAUCCACCUGCUGGAGCUGUGCCACAGUGGGCAAAGGCAGAGCGCCGCUCUGGGUGAGGUGUGCUUAACACUGACGGGUAAGGACACAGACAAAAAAGGUAGUUUAAGAAAAACUCCGGUACUUAAAUACUAGCAUAGGAAUAAACCACUAUUUAAGAAACGUACUGACCAAGUGUUCCUCAUAUUUUGAAAAACAAAAACAAAACAACAACAACAGAAAAACGCGGAUCAAAUAACUGCUGCUUUCUUUAGCGACACCCAGAGAGAAAUACAAACAAACUAAAGGUGCAAGCACCUACUAAUUAAUUACCCUGGAAGGACUACACAGAAAUAAGGACGCACCGGGCCGUGUACGGGAACACAGCACACACAUGCGUUAGUGCACCAACAAACAGGGGCGGGAGGGAAGCGACAGCCCGCUCGGAGGCCCCGAAACGCUUGUGAACAGGACGUGCACUGCCUGCACGCCUCAAGGAAACGCAUGUCCGUACCAACUGCAAUCCCGCACGCUAGUGGGUCGACUCGUGUAGUGAGAAGCACGGCACAAGCACCAGACCCGGGAAUGCCGAAGGUUAGUCUAGAAGGUGAAGGAAGUCAGGCUCCUGCUUUGUCCAGAAAAAAAAAAAAA